CCUACGGGAGGCAGCAGUGGGGAAUAUUGGGCAAUGGGCGCAAGCCUGACCCAGCAACGCCGCGUGAAGGAAGAAGGCUUUCGGGUUGUAAACUUCUUUUCUGAGGGACGAAGAAAGUGACGGUACCUCAGGAAUAAGCCACGGCUAACUACGUGCCAGCAGCCGCGGUAAUACGUAGGUGGCAAGCGUUAUCCGGAUUUAUUGGGUGUAAAGGGCGUGUAGGCGGGAAGGCAAGUCAGAUGUGAAAACUCAGGGCCCAACCCUGGGCCUGCAUUUGAAACUGUUUUUCUUGAGUGCUGGGGAGGAAGUCGGAAUUCGGUGUGUAGCGGUGAAAUGCGUAGAUAUGCGGAGGAACACCAGUGGCGAAGGCGGAUUGCUGGACAGUAACUGACGCUGAGGCGCGAAAGCGUGGGGAGCAAACAGGAUUAGAUACCCCAGUAGUC
rnacentral:rRNA from 1 species